GCAGUUUCAUUCACAAAAAUGUUAUUAAAGGGUAAAAAGAAGACUUUCGGAGUUCAGCGCUUCAACAAAUCAGUGAACAAAUUUAGCAGCAUUAGUAAUGGGAAUAGAGGACCCAAAACUAUUUGAAAAUAUUAGUAGUACAGCAGCCAGCAACAUGUCAUCAGAGCAAUGCUUUACAGUGACAUACAUAAAGAGUGAAUAUGUAGUUAGAGUUAGUUAGAUGCUAAAAAAGGCAAAGUGAUCUAUGAUAUAUAUGAGAGGCUAAAGUAGGUGAUGUUUCAUUUUAACAGUGUUACCAUGCAAAAGGGGAGUGCUGGGUUAGUUGAUUUCAGUGACCAGGGGGUCCAGUUUGGUUAGGCAACAAAAGCACUUCGGUUAAGAUUAGGGAAAUAUUGUGGUUUUGGGUAAAUGUUAAUAAACCUGUUGUGUGUCAA